GAUGAACGCUGGCGGCGUGCCUAAUACAUGCAAGUCGAGCGAACAGACGAGGAGCUUGCUCCUCUGACGUUAGCGGCGGACGGGUGAGUAACGCGUGGAUAACCUACCUAUAAGACUGGGAUAACUUCGGGAAACCGGAGCUAAUACCGGAUAAUAUAUUGAACCGCAUGGUUCAAUAGUGAAAGACGGUUUUGCUGUCACUUAUAGAUGGAUCCGCGCCGCAUUAGCUAGUUGGUAAGGUAACGGCUUACCAAGGCAACGAUGCGUAGCCGACCUGAGGGGGUGAUCGGCCACACUGGAACUGAGACACGGUCCAGACUCCUACGGGAGGCAGCAGUAGGGAAUCUUCCGCAAAGGGCGAAAGCCUGACGGAGCAACGCCGCGUGAGUGACGAAGGUCUUCGGAUCGUAAAACUCUGUUAUUAGGGAAGAACAAAUGUGUAAGUAACUAUGCACGUCUUGACGGUACCUAAUCAGAAAGCCACGGCUAACUACGUG
rnacentral:rRNA from 1 species